GCUUGUCUCAAAGAUUAAGCCAUGCAUGUCUAAGUAUAAACGACUUUAUACUGUGAAACUGCGAAUGGCUCAUUAUAUCAGUUAUAGUUUAUUUGAUGGUACUUUCUACUCGGAAUAACCGUAGUAAUUCUAGAGCUAAUACGUGCGUAAAUCCCGACUUCUGGAAGGGACGUAUUUAUUAGAUAAAAGGCCGACCGGGCUCUGCCCGACUCGCGGUGAAUCAUGAUAACUUCACGAAUCGCACGGCCUCGUGCCGGCGAUGUUUCAUUCAAAUUUCUGCCCUAUCAAUUGGCGAUGGUAGGAUAGAGGCCUACCAUGGUGUUAACGGGUGACGGGGGAUUAGGGUUCGAUUCCGGAGAGGCAGCCUGAGAAACGGCUACCACAUCCAAGGAAGGCAGCAGG
rnacentral:rRNA from 1 species